rnacentral:lncRNA from 1 species
AGGAAAUGGUUUAUUCAGCUUACAGUUGUAGAAGUUCAAGAGCAGUUCUUGGCCAGGUCACAUGGUAGGUGGCAAUGCCAGGAGCAUGUUUGGGAAUAGGUGGUUGCAUCUCAAACCAGGAGAAGGAGGGAAAGUUGGGUGGGACCAGACUCAAGCUUUACAUCGAUGCCUUCUCAAGAACGACCUGCUGAGGACACACCUCAGCGUAAGGACCUUACAGUGGCCUCCCAAGGGUUCUGCUGUCACCUAGGAGCACCACGCUGUGGACCAAGUCUCCUGUCAGUGGAUCUUUGUGGGGAAAACUCAGACCACACUGAACCAUAGCACCUUUUUUGCUGAAAGAGUGAUAAAGAUUUUUAAUUUAGGAAACAUUCUGACUUGAUUUAUAUAUUUAAAGAAAUACCUAAGGCAGGAAACAGACCUUGUUUAUAGAAGGUUAUCAGCUGACCAGAAGAAACUCAAUUGUAAACUAAUGUACAGAUUCUCUUAAAUUGCAUAGCUGAUGAUGACAUGGGCUGAAGAGAGAAACUGGCCACCAUAUUUUUCAUAAUGCAGUGGCUUAGUGUCAGGGUUUCAGAUGUAGUGGUGGAUAUGGGCUUACAAGAUAAUUGUAAUCCAGUUACACUUUGAAAUUACUUCUUCUGGACCAGGUGUGGUGUUGCAACGCCUGUGAUCUCAGCACUCUGUGAGGCUGAGGGAGGAGGAUGGCAAGUUUGAGCCCAGCAUGGCCAAUUUAUCGAGACACUGUCUCAAAAAACAAACAACCCAAAAGGGCUGGGAGGUAGCUCAGUGUGAAGGCCCCGAGUCCAAUCCCCAGCACUCAAAAUUAGUGCUCUCUCUUUGCCCCCACUGGGUGUGUCCCAUCAUCUCUGGACUCAAGCAGAUUAGCUACCUCUCCAAAUGAAGGCCAAGUUAAAGCCAUUUUGCAGAUUUCCUCUUCAUCUAGCAGAAUGAACAUUUUUAAAACUUCAUUGAGAGCCAGGAAUGGUGCAUACUUGUAAUCUCAGCACUCAGGAGGCUGAGGUAGGAGAAUUGUGAGUUCAAGGCCAGCCUGGGCUACAUAGUGAGACUUUGUCUCAAAAAACAAAUAUGUUCAUCAACAGAUAAAUGGAUAAAUAAAAUGUAUUUGCACACAGUUGAGUACUACUCUGCCAUAAAGGAUAAAUGAGUCAUUUGUAGGCACCUAGAGACCGUAAUAGUAAGUGAAAUAAAAACGAACACACAAGCUUAAAUAUUGCAUGGUUUCUCUUAGACAAGAAACCCAAAACAUAAAUAAAAAGCAAAAACAGAAGAUAGAUAAUAGGAAAAAGGGAGAGAUCUUUUGCAAAAGGGAAGGGGACCAAGAGAUGGAGAGGGGAAGAGGAAAAAAACGUGUUAUAUACACAUACC